AGUGAACGCUGGCGGUAGGCCUAACACAUGCAAGUCGAACGGCAGCACAGUAAGAGCUUGCUCUUACGGGUGGCGAGUGGCGGACGGGUGAGGAAUACAUCGGAAUCUACUUUUUCGUGGGGGAUAACGUAGGGAAACUUACGCUAAUACCGCAUACGACCUACGGGUGAAAGCAGGGGAUCUUCGGACCUUGCGCGUUUUAAUGAGCCGAUGUCGGAUUAGCUAGUUGGCGGGGUAAAGGCCCACCAAGGCGACGAUCCGUAGCUGGUCUGAGAGGAUGAUCAGCCACACGGGAAGUGAGACAGGGCCGACACACCGGCGCUGGGCAGCAGUGGGGAAUAUUACGCAAGGGGGGAGAGGGGAAUAGAGCCAUACCGCGUGAACGAUGAAGCACCUAGGGUUGUAAAGCGAUUAUGUUGGGAAAGAAGAAAAGCACGUUAAUACCGGACGGUAAUGACGGUACCCGAGGAAUAAGCACCGGCUAACUUCGUG
rnacentral:rRNA from 1 species